rnacentral:tRNA from 1 species
GGGUCGCUAGCUCAGUGGUAGAGCACCGCCUUCACACGGCGGGGGUCAGAGGUUCGACCCCUCUGCGACCCACCA